rnacentral:lncRNA from 1 species
UGGGCAGGAGGUGUGGAGGCCGGGGAGGGCCACCCAGCACGGGCUCAGGCGGGGAAGGAAUGUGCCCGGGCCCGGGUGUGGCCGGCAGAGCACAGCCACUUGUGGGUUUUUCUUGGGGCCCAGAUGGAGGUGCGCACAGGAUAGCCCCCUCCCCAGCCCCCGCACGCACACCAGGACCUUUCUUCA